rnacentral:misc_RNA from 1 species
UACGGAAGGGGCAAGCGUUGUUCGGAAUUAUUGGGCGUAAAGGGCGCGUAGGCGGCCUGGCAAGUCUAGCGUGAAAUCUUCACCACUCAACGGGGAGACUGCGCUGGAAACUGCUGGGCUAGAGUGCGAGAGAGGUAAGUGGAAUUCCUGGUGUAGCGGUGGAAUGCGUAGAUAUCAGGAGGAACACCAGUGGCGAAGGCGGCUUACUGGCUCGCUACUGACGCUGAGGCGCGAAAGCGUGGGGAGCAAACAGG